rnacentral:rRNA from 1 species
UGGGGAAUUUUGGACAAUGGGCGAAAGCCUGAUCCAGCAAUGCCGCGUGUGUGAAGAAGGCCUUCGGGUUGUAAAGCACUUUUGUCCGGAAAGAAAUCCUUGGCUCUAAUACAGUCGGGGGAUGACGGUACCGAAAGAAUAAGCACCGGCUAACUACGUGCCAGCAGCCGCGGUAAUACGUAGGGUGCAAGCGUUAAUCGGAAUUACUGGGCGUAAAGCGUGCGCAGGCGGUUUGCUAAGACCGAUGUGAAAUCCCCGGGCUCAACCUGGGAACUGCAUUGGUGACUGGCAGGCUAGAGUAUGGCAGAGGGGGGUAGAAUUCCACGUGUAGCAGUGAAAUGCGUAGAGAUGUGGAGGAAUACCAAUGGCGAAGGCAGCCCCCUGGGCCAAUACUGACGCUCAUGCACGAAAAGCGUGGGGGAGCAAAACAGGAUUAGAUACCCUGGUAGUCCACGCCCUAAACGAUGUCAACUAGUUGUUGGGGAUUCAUUUCCUUAGUAACGUAGCUAACGCGUGAAGUUGACCGCCUGGGGAGUACGGUCG